rnacentral:rRNA from 1 species
CUUGCUCUGAUCUUAGCGGCGGACGGGUGAGUAAUGCUUAGGAAUCUGCCUAUUAGUGGGGGACAACAUUUCGAAAGGAAUGCUAAUACCGCAUACGUCCUACGGGAGAAAGCAGGGGAUCUUCGGACCUUGCGCUAAUAGAUGAGCCUAAGUCGGAUUAGCUAGUUGGUGGGGUAAAGGCCUACCAAGGCGACGAUCUGUAGCGGGUCUGANAGGAUGAUCCGCCACACUGGGACUGAGACACGGCCCAGACUCCUACGGGAGGCAGCAGUGGGGAAUAUUGGACAAUGGGCGGAAGCCUGAUCCAGCCAUGCCGCGUGUGUGAAGAAGGCCUUAUGGUUGUAAAGCACUUUAAGCGAGGAGGAGGCUACUUUAGUUAAUACCUAGGGAUAGUGGACGUUACUCGCAGAAUAAGCACCGGCUAACUCUGUGCCAGCAGCCGCGGUAAUACAGAGGGUGCAAGCGUUAAUCGGAUUUACUGGGCGUAAAGCGCGCGUAGGCGGCUAAUUAAGUCAAAUGUGAAAUCCCCGAGCUUAACUUGGGAAUUGCAUUCGAUACUGGUUAGCUAGAGUGUGGGAGAGGAUGGUAGAAUUCCAGGUGUAGCGGUGAAAUGCGUAGAGAUCUGGAGGAAUACCGAUGGCGAAGGCAGCCAUCUGGCCUAACACUGACGCUGAGGUGCGAAAGCAUGGGGAGCAAACAGGAUUAGAUACCCUGGUAGUCCAUGCCGUAAACGAUGUCUACUAGCCGUUGGGGCCUUUGAGGCUUUAGUGGCGCAGCUAACGCGAUAAGUAGACC